AAUGAUGUGCCUGACAAAAAGGGAUAUCUUGAUAGGAUAUAAAUAUGGGGAUACCAUCAUCAUUA
rnacentral:tRNA from 1 species